rnacentral:tRNA from 1 species
GUUUCUGUAGUGUAGUGGUUAUCACGUUCGCCUAACCCGCGAAAGGUCCCCGGUUCGAAACCGGGCAGAAACA